UCCGUCUUGUCGACCGACGAGGAUGUCUAUACCAUCCUGUAACUGAUGAGUAUCCAACGAAGUGAUUCCCGAGCCUGUCGAAGUCAGCAGCCAGAAAAAAAGCAAGGAUGAAAAGAUAUCCCAGGUAAAAUCGCGAAAAUAUUUAUAGUAACUUUCGGAAAUAGAGACGGAAUCAAGUAAUCGACCGUUGUUUCCUUAAAGAAUCACGUUCAAUGAAAUCGUCGAGAAAUCUUACCGCGCAAUCCGCACAGGCUAGAAUGGCGUACACCACGUUGCCAUCCCCGGGCAAGAGCACAACAUCAUGCAGGGUUUCGCCG
rnacentral:lncRNA from 13 species